UUGACCUCAAAUCAGGUAGGACUACCCGCUGAACUUAAGCAUAUCAAUAAGCGGAGGAAAAGAAACUAACGAGGAUUCCCCUAGUAACUGCGAGUGAAGCGGGAAAAGCUCAAAUUUGAAAUCUGGCGGCUUUUAGCUGUCCGAGUUGUAAUCUAGAGAAGUGCUACCUGUGCUGGACCGUGUAAAAGUCUCCUGGAAUGGAGCAUCAUAGAGGGUGAGAAUCCCGUCUUUGACAUGGACUGCCUGUACAUUCAAGGUGCGCUCUCGAAGAGUCGAGUUGUUUGGGAAUGCAGCUCAAAAUGGGUGGUAAAUGCCAUCUAAAGCUAAAUAUUGGCGAGAGACCGAUAGCGAACAAGUACCGUGAGGGAAAGAUGAAAAGAACUUUGGAAAGAGAGUUAAACAGUACGUGAAAUUGCUGAAAGGGAAACGCUUGAAGUCAGUCGCGUUGACUAGAAAUCAGCCUUGCUUUUGCUUGGUGUACUUUCUUGUCGACGGGUCAGCAUCAGUUUUGACCAUUGGAUAAGGAUUUUGGGAAUGUGGCAUCUUUGGAUGUGUUAUAGCCCAUUGUCGCAUACGAUGGUUGGGAUUGAGGAACUCAGCACGCCCGCAAGGGCAGGGUCUUCUGACCACAACUCGUGCUUAGGAUGCUGGCAUAAUGGCUUUAAUCGACCCGUC
rnacentral:rRNA from 1 species